UAAAAAUAAAAAAAUCUAAAGUACUGUGCUGUAUUUACCAAUUAGACUAAUAUUUCAUUAUGAACAAGGUUUAUUUCAUUGAUCAAAAUGUUCUGUGUUUGUUAUUAUGCAUUUUAGGACAGUGAGGCAGCAAAUGACAGACUAAUCCACUUUCAGAAGCUUGGAUUACCCCAGGAAAACAUCAGUAACAUUUUAGGUGUCACUCAUACAACUAUCGUUCGUCGGAUGAGAGAAUGUGUUUGGCCAGAGAGAGAAUCCAAUAAUUAACCCUGAGAUGGAAUAUUCAGACUCAAUGGCAGUUGAACAAGAUGGUGGAGAUGCUGACCAUGUUCACUUUGCAGUCAACGUGCCUGUAAUUCACAGGCCACAACUCACAAAUGAGCAAAUUGACCCACUGCAAGUGUCUGAUUCAUUUGGAGUAGAUGUAUACCUCAAGACUCUCACAUAUGUACAGACUUUGAUUGAAUAAAGGGAUAUUUGAAGGUUUAUUUCUGCUGCUCUAAUUUUGACAGCAAGGUUGUAAAUGUGUAUAUAUAGUUGUAUCUUAAGUAAAACUUGUGGAAACAACCUUUUAAGACAUGUAAAAUAAUUAAAUUUAUUUUAAAAUGUUA